rnacentral:rRNA from 1 species
UGAGGGAUAUUGGGCAAUGGGGGAAACCCUGACCCAGCGACGCCGCGUGAGGGAAGACGGUCUUCGGAUUGUAAACCUCUGUCUUUGGGGACGAAGAAGGACGGUACCCAAGGAGGAAGCUCCGGCUAACUACGUGCCAGCAGCCGCGGUAAUACGUAGGGAGCGGGCGUUGUCCGGAAUUACUGGGUGUAAAGGGAGCGUAGGCGGGAUUGCAAGUUGGAUGUGAAAACUGCGGGCUCAACCGGAGAGUGCAUUCAAAACUGCGAUUCUUGAGUGAAGUAGAGGCAAGCGGAAUUCCUAGUGUAGCGGCGAAAUGCGUAGAUAUUAGGAGGAACACCAGUGGCGAAGGCGGCUUGCUGGGCUUUUACUGACGCUGAGGCUCGAAAGUGUGGGGAGCAAACAGGAUUAGAUACC